GCCCUCGUGGAGAAAUGGUAACUCGUCAGACUCCUAAUCGGGAGAUCCAUCUGGAUAUUGCGGUAAGUACCCUUUCUCCUUUGUCCUUCACAAACAGACAGCUAAUGCUCAUAAGGGUUCGAGUCCCGUCGGGGGUG